GAUGAACGCUAGCGGCAGGCCUAAUACAUGCAAGUCGAGCGGCAAGUCGAGGAGUAAUCUAAGAACUAGAGCGGCGCACGGGUGCGUAACGCGUAUGCAACCUACCUUAUACUGGGGGAUAGCCCGGAGAAAUCUGGAUUAAUACCCCAUGGCACAUAUUGAUGGCAUCUGAGAUAUGUUAAAGAUUUAUUGGUAUAAGAUGGGCAUGCGUCUGAUUAGCUAGUUGGCGGUGUAACGGACCACCAAGGCGACGAUCAGUAGGGGUUCUGAGAGGAAGGUCCCCCACACUGGCACUGAGAUACGGGCCAGACUCCUACGGGAGGCAGCAGUAGGGAAUAUUGGGCAAUGGUCGGAAGACUGACCCAGCCAUGCCGCGUGCAGGAAGACGGGCCCUCUGGGUUGUAAACUGCUUUANCUGGA
rnacentral:rRNA from 1 species